rnacentral:rRNA from 1 species
UUUUUAAAAGUUGCUUAAUAAUUACUGGGUAAAAAACAAUAAAAAAGAUAAUUAUAGUAAAAAUUAGUAAUGUUUAAUAAAUAUUUUUGUUUGGCUAUAGAUUAAAAGUACUGUGAAGGAAAUUAAAGUGGGAUUGAAUUUUUAUAGUAGUCGUUAAUAGUUGUACCUUGUGUAUCAUGGAAAAUUUAAAUAAUUUAAGGAUUUUAAAAAUCUCGAAGUAAAUAAUAGUUAACUUAAUAAAGAAGUUUAUAUUGCAAAAUGAAAUUUUAAUAUAAAGUUAAAGGUGAAAUAUUCGACGAGUUUUAUUGUAUCUGGUUUCUUAAGAAAUAAAUAUAAUUUAUAAUUUAGACUUUAAAGGUUUAAAAUUUAGGAGCAGGAAGGUUAAGCUUCUUGUUCAAAAAAUUUAUUAUAAUAGUUUUAUAGAUCAUAAAAAACUAUCUAAGCUUAAAAUUAGCUAUGAUAACAAAUUGUUUAAAAUGAAUUAAAGACAAUAUAUUUAUAACUUUAAAUGGUAUUAAGAUAUUUAAGUAACAGAAAAGAAAAAGCAAUUUUGGUUUUAUAAGUAGAAAAAUAAUAUUAAAAUAACAAAAUAAAAUAAAAACUUAAUUAUAGUAUACUUAGGGGUAUAGUUAAAGGAACUCGGCAUAUAUAAUUUCUUGCCUGUUUAUCAAAAACAUGUCUAUUAUGAAGAUAUUAAUAGUCUGGCCUGCUCCCUGAUUACAAGUUAAAGAGCCGCGGUAAUUUGACCGUGCAAAGGUAGCAUAAUCAUUAGUUUCUUAAUUGGGAACUUGUAUGAAAGGUUUGACAAAGAAAAAGCUGUCUUUAUUAUAUAAAUUGAAUUUAACUUUUAAGUGAAAAGGCUUAAAUAAUUUAGAGGGACGAUAAGACCCUAUAAAGCUUUAUAUAAAAAAUAAUUAAAACUUAAUUUAUAAUAAAAUUUAAAAUUAACUAUAUAUUUUGUUGGGGUGAUGUUAAUAAAAUUAAUAUUAACUGUUAAAAAAUAAUACGUAAAUAAGAGAGUCAGAAUUAUCAGUGAUCCUUGGUUAAAGAUUAAAAGAUUAAGUUACUUUAGGGGUAACAGCGUAAUUUUUCUUAAGAGUCCAUAUCGAAAGAAAAGAUUUCGACCUCGAUGUUGAAUUAAGAUAUCUGUGUAAAGUAGCCAUUACAUGAGAAGGUCUGUUCGACCUUUAAAUUCUUACAUGAUUUGAGUUCAGACCGGCGUGAGCCAGGUCGGUUUCUAUCUUCUAAAAAUAAAUAAACCAUUUUAGUACGAAAGGAUUUGGUGGUUUUAAAAGUUAAAAGUC